GUCAAUGAAGGAUUCAAAGCUUGGAUGGGAUCUUCUCUCUUAUCCUCCGAUGAAGAAGAUGAACCUGAUAGCUACGAAGAAGUAACAUCUCAUGUGAACCAUGCUAACUCUAACAACAGGCACAUUGUGUGAUACGAUUUUCCUCGAUUCAGGUAAUGACAGGUAAAUUUUGGUUCAUUGAAGAUCCGAUGGGCGGGCGUCGUAUAAAGAUGUAGAUGGGUGUUUGCAGAGACCUGAUUAUGGGGCUUGGAUGGCAGCAGCAGUUUUUGUUGAGAUUUGGGGUUUCAUCUGUCACCAUAAUCUUUGAUAACUUGUGAAUAGUUGAUAGAACUUACUCUAAUCCUCUCCUACACUCCUUUGAG
rnacentral:misc_RNA from 1 species